GAUGAACGCUGGCGGCGUGCCUAAUACAUGCAAGUCGAGCGAAUGGAUUAAGAGCUUGCUCUUAUGAAGUUAGCGGCGGACGGGUGAGUAACACGUGGGUAACCUGCCCAUAAGACUGGGAUAACUCCGGGAAACCGGGGCUAAUACCGGAUAACAUUUUGAACCGCAUGGUUCGAAAUUGAAAGGCGGCUUCGGCUGUCACUUAUGGAUGGACCCGCGUCGCAUUAGCUAGUUGGUGAGGUAACGGCUCACCAAGGCAACGAUGCGUAGCCGACCUGAGAGGGGGAUCGGCCACCCUGGGACUGAGACACGGCCCAGACUCCUACGGGAGGCAGCAGUAGGGAAUCGUCCGCAAUGGACGAAAGUCUGACAGAGCAACGCCGCGUGAGGGAUGAAGGCUUUCGGGUCGUAAAACUCUGUUGUUAGGGAAGAACAAGUGCUAGUUGAAUAAGCUGGCACCUUGACGGUACCUAACCAGAAAGCCACGGCUAACUACGUGCCAGCCGCCGCCGUAA
rnacentral:rRNA from 1 species